rnacentral:sRNA from 1 species
AACCCCCUGCUAGGCAGGGGGUUCCGUUUGUUAAAACCCCUUGCGGUCUGGCAACUGCAAAAGUGAAUCAAGAAAUCGAAAG